rnacentral:rRNA from 1 species
UUUCCUUCGGGGGAUGAGUAAAGCGGCAAACGGGUGAGUAACACGUGUGUAACCUGCCGUCGAGUGGGGGACAACACCGGGAAACUGGUGCUAAUACCGCAUAAUGUUAUCGUGACGCAUGGCGUGAUAACCAAAGGGGGGCUCUUCUAUCCUCCCGCUUGAUGAGGGGCACGCGCUUGAUUAGCUAGAUGGUGGGGUAACGGCCUACCAUGGCGAUGAUCAAUAGCCGGUCUGAGAGGAUGGCUGGCCACACUGGGAUUGAGAUACGGCCCAGACUCCUACGGGAGGCAGCAGUCUAGAAGCUUCGACAAUGGACGAAAGUCUGAUCGAGCGACGCCGCGUGCAGGACGAAGGUCUUCGGAUCGUAAACUGCUUUCGACAGGGAAGAACGGUAUGUAAGCUAAUACCUUAUAUAUUUGACGGUACCUGGUGAAGAAGCCCUGGCUAACUCCGUGCCAGCAGCCGCGGUAAU